UACGAGGGGGGGCGAGCGUUGUUCGGAAUUAUUGGGCGUAAAGAGCUCGUAGGCGGUGUGUCGCGUCGGCCGUGAAAACCUGGGGCUCAACUCUGGGCGUGCGGUCGAUACGGGCAUCACUUGAGUUCGGCAGGGGAGACUGGAAUUCCUGGUGUAGCGGUGAAAUGCGCAGAUAUCAGGAGGAACACCGGUGGCGAAGGCGGGUCUCUGGGCCGAUACUGACGCUGAGGAGCGAAAGCGUGGGGAGCGAACAGG
rnacentral:rRNA from 1 species